ensembl:lncRNA
GCGUGGACGAGAGGAGUUACCCCACGUCCGAGGUCAGGGGCAGUGGCCGAGUGCCAGGCUGCUAUGGCGCAGGAACGGCCGAGAGGAGCUACCCAAGUCCGAGGUCAGUGUCGGCUGGGAGGAGACACCCCACGUCCGAUGUCAGGGGCGGCAGCUGAGAGGAGCUACUCCGUGUCCCAGGCCAGGGGAGGCAGCCGAGAGGAGCUACCCCACAUCCGAGUCAAGUAGAAGUGGCCCAUACCAGGAAGGUGACAUUAGAGGGCUAAGGAUUCGGUCAGAACCAGUGAGAGACCUGUGUACAUACCCUAGUCUGGUUCAAGAUGAAUAUGCUAUCCAGGUUUCUCAUUGUUAAUGUAUAGGAAUGCAAGGGAUUUCUGUGUACACUCUUAUAUGUAAAGCAGAUGACUGGAGAGGACCUAUUAUAUAGCAGAGGGGCAAAAAUAAAGAGUACAUCAUGAGAAAUGCUGUACUAGAUGAAGCACAAGCUGGAAUCAAGAUUGUUGGGAGAAAUAUCGAUAACAGAUAUGCAGAUGACACCACCCUUAUGGCAUAAAGCAAAGAAAAACUAAAGAACCUCUUGAUGACAGUGAAAGAGGAGAGUGAAAAAGUUGGCUUAAAGCUCAACAUUCAGAAAACUAAGAUCAUGGCAUCCAGUCCCAUCAUUUCAUGGCAAAUAGAUGGAGAAAGAGUGGAAACAGAAGCAGACUUUAUUUGGGGGCUCCAAAAUCACUGAAGAUGGUGACUAUAGCCAUGAAACUAAAAGACACUUGCUCCUUGGAAGAAAA